GAUCUUGUUGCUAGAAGAUACGUCAAGCUUCCUACCAUUUACUUGAAAAUUAAGGCAUAAUAAGUUUUACCUCUUUCAUCUUUAACCAAUUUUCAAACUUGAACAAUAGGAAUGCAUACUUUAUUGCACUCUUCCAUCAUUAUCUUGCUUUACCUCAAUUCCCAAUAAGUAUCUCAUCGUUCCUAAGUCAGUCAUUGCAAUUUCUCCCUUUAUUGACUACUUGAAC
rnacentral:lncRNA from 1 species